GGUGUGGCUCAGCUGGUAGAGCAGUGGUCUCCAAAACCAAAGGUCGUAGGUUCGAUCCCUACCACC
rnacentral:tRNA from 1 species